UCCACCAAUGUUGACCCAAACCUUCAAUGGGUUUGGCCAAUAUCUCGACCGCUUUUUCCCUGGAAAAAGCUGAUGGAGUCCAGAGGAGGCCUCCAGACACCCGGGGGGUCCCUCACCCUCCGCUGCCAGGGCUCCGGCUUCACCUUCAGCAGCUUCGCCAUGGACUGGGUGCGACAGGCCCCCGGGAAGGGGCUCGAGUUCGUUGCGCGUAUUGGCAAUGAUGGUAGUAGCACAGCCUACGCGCCGUCGGUGAAGGGGCGCUUCACCCUCUCCAGGGACAACUCCCAGAGCACGCUCACGCUGCAGAUGAACAGCCUCCGGGACGACGACACGGCCACCUACUACUGCGCGAAAAGUGCUGAUGGUGGUUGUUAUUAUGGUGGUGGCACCUUCCCCGACACCGUGUCCCAACUUCCCUGUGUUGGGUCCCCUCAUCGACCGAUUUUGCCCCAGUCGACCAUUUUUGCCCCAAAUCUCAACCAUUAUCAUCAAACCCUGACCGAUUUCUCACCAGACCUCCAUGGUUUCACUCAACUCUUGACUAUUUGCCACAAACCUUGA